UACGAACUGUGCGAACGUUAUUCGGAAUCACUGGGCGUAAAGGGUGCGUAGGCGGGUCUUUAAGUCAGGGGUGAAAUCCUGGAGCUCAACUCCAGAACUGCCUUUGAUACUGAGGAUCUUGAGUUCGGGAGAGGUGAGUGGAACUGCGAGUGUAGAGGUGAAAUUCGUAGAUAUUCGCAAGAACACCAGUGGCGAAGGCGGCUCACUGGCCCGAUACUGACGCUGAGGCACGAAAGCGUGGGGAGCAAACGGG
rnacentral:rRNA from 1 species